rnacentral:rRNA from 1 species
CUCCGGUUGAUCCCGCCGGACCUGACUGCUAUCGGAUUGGUACUAAGCCAUGCGAGUCAUUGUAGCAAUACAAGGCGGACGGCUCAGUAACACGUAGUCAACCUAACCCGUGGACGCGGAUAACCUCGGGAAACUGAGAAUAAACCGCGAUAGAUCAUUAUGCCUGGAAUGGCUUAUGGUCCAAACAGUUUACUGCCAUGGGAUGGGACUGCGGCCUAUCAGCUUGUUGGUGAGGUAAUGGCCCACCAAGGCUAUAACAGGUACGGGCUCUGAGAGGAGAAGCCCGGAGAUGGGUACUGAGACACGGACCCAGGCCCUAUGGGGCGCAGCAGGCGCGAAACCUCUGCAAUAGGCGAAAGCCUGACAGGGUUACUCUGAGUGAUUUCCGCUAAGGGGAUCUUUUGGCACCUCUAAAAAUGGUGCAGAAUAAGGGGUGGGCAAGUCUGGUGUCAGCCGCCGCGGUAAUACCAGCACCCCGAGUGGUCGGGACGAUUAUUGGGCCUAAAGCAUCCGUAGCCGGUUCUGCAAGUCUUCCGUUAAAUCCAGCCGCUCAACGGAUGGGCCGCGGAGGAUACUACAGGACUAGGAGGCGGGAGAGGCAAGCGGUACUCAGUGGGUAGGGGUAAAAUCCUUUGAUCCAUUGAAGACCACCAGUGGCGAAGGCGGCUUGCCAGAACGCGCUCGACGGUGAGGGAUGAAAGCUGGGGGAGCAAACCGGAUUAGAUACCCGGGUAGUCCCAGCUGUAAACGAUGCAGACUCGGUGAUGGGCUAGCCUUGUGCCAGCCCAGUGCCGCAGGGAAGCCGUUAAGUCUGCCGCCUGGGGAGUACGGUCGCAAGACUGAAACUUAAAGGAAUUGGCGGGGGAACCC